UCUUUCUCUUCGUCAAUGAUUAUGGAUCGCUCUUGUCAUUUAGUUCGAUACACUACUCUAAGGACAGUUGCCUAUACAUUAUCUUGACUUUCUAGUAGAGUCCAAUUUGCUGCAACUUCACUGUACAUGUUUGAAAAGUUCAGCAAUAAAGGAUGAUGAUGGCCAAAACAUUUCAAUUUGUCUGUGUACUUAUUUGUUUCUUGGCCAUUAUUAUCAACAUUGAGGCUUGUGUAAAAGAAAAUGCAACAUCAGACAUAGAUCAGGGAUAUUAUGUCGAAAAAACAGUCGUUCACAAUGCUGUAUCAGAAGGAGCAGUGUGCUUGGAUGGAUCACCUCCAGCAUACCAUUUUGAACCAGGAUUCGGAGAUGGAGUGGGAAAAUGGCUUGUUCAUCUUUCGGUAAGUCAUAUCUAAUUAACUAUGUA